UAUUUUUUCCUUAAAAGUAAAAUAUACUUUGUGAACUGAAAACAGAUUAAAAGUAAAUAUUAAAACAGUAACUGCACCGCUAUUACUAAAGUAUCUGAAUUUCAGCUCUAUUGGGCAUGAUCAGAAAUAUAUGUGAAUUCCCAAUCCAAAGUUCAACCUGCAAAUGUUUUGCUAACGUUCACAAACUAUUUGACUGGUUCCCGAUGUGGUUUACUGUGAAGCACUUGAACCAGUCUAGCGGACAUUUUUCUACUGCUCGGGUCUGGCUGAACUCGAUCCAGCAUUAAAGCGAGUUCCAACAACCUUGUUGCCUAUUUGAAUUCUUUGGACGCACAACAGCAAAGGAUGUAAUUGAGAGAAUAAUGGAGUGCCCUUGGCCUGUCAGUACAACUGGGUUGACAGGAGGAAAAAAAAUGGCAUCAGAAAAUUAAUUCUCAGAAAGGUGAUAAAAGAUGCUGCCAAAAACUGCAACAUAAAAGAGGCAAGAACGGAACUGCAUCUUAGAAAUUGGUUCAGAUACAUGUAUGCAUCGGACCGAAGUAAGGGCCGCAAAAGGAACACUUGAGGAGGAGACGCAACAUGCGAGGCCAGCAGCCAUGGAGAUGUAGUCAGAAUCCGAAGAAGAUUAUGAACAAGAUUGAUAUAUAGUUCGAUAAUAAAUGUUACAACUGUG